UACGAAGGGUGCAAGCGUUACUCGGAAUCACUGGGCGUAAAGCGUGCGUAGGCGGUUCGUUAAGUCUGCUGUGAAAGCCCUGGGCUCAACCUGGGAACUGCAGUGGAUACUGGCGGACUAGAGUGUGAUAGAGGAUGGUGGAAUUCCCGGUGUAGCGGUGAAAUGCGUAGAGAUCGGGAGGAACACCAGUAGCGAAGGCGGCCAUCUGGAUCAACACUGACGCUGAGGCACGAAAGCGUGGGGAGCAAACAGG
rnacentral:rRNA from 1 species